rnacentral:rRNA from 1 species
GUGCCAGCCGCCGCGGUACUACCGGCAGCUCAAGUGAUGUCCCAUAUUAUUGGGCCUAAAGCGUCCGUAGCUGGCCGACCAAGUCUCCCGGGAAAUCCACCCGCCCAACGGGUGGGCGUCCGGUAGAAACUGGCCGGCUUGGAACCGGAAGGCUCAGAGAGUACGUCCGGGGUAGGAGUGAAAUCCUGUAAUCCUGGACGGACCACCAAUGGGGAAACCACCUCAGGAGAACGGACCCGACGGUGAGGGACGAAAGCUAGGGUCUCGAACCGGAAUAGAAACCCUGGUAGUCC